rnacentral:lncRNA from 1 species
CUCAAAUCACAGCCAAUCUACUUCCUGUAAAUUCCUGUAUAUCUCUGCACAUGGGCUGAUGAAGAAGAAAAGCUCAAAGAAGAAGCAUACAGCUGGCUCACUUCAUGGACGUCCUGAGCUCCACCUAAUGUUUGGCUGCGGGGCUUAGUAUCUGCUCCCAUCAGUUGCUAGAUGAAUUCCCUCUGGUUGUCUUGAUAAUGAUUCUGCUGGACCAUGGUUCCAGAACACUCUGAAGAUUGGAAAAACUAUAGAUCAAAGUUCCUAGAAGAUGGCAUGGGAGCCAUGGAAUCUGGAGUAAAGAUUGGUCAUGACCAACCAUAUGGGAGCUGAACUCUAUCUUUUGGAAGAGAACACAGUACUCUUAAUUGCUUAACCAUCUGUCCAUCACUAUUGUGCCCAGUCUUUCAAAACUAAGAACAUGUCCUCACCCAACCUGCAACAUGGGUUCGAAGUCUUAUGAUUUUUCAAACAUCUGAAAUGACAAGACCACAGUCAGAAGUAUAAUACCUAACAUCCUAAGGACUAGAGAGAACCAAGAGAGAUGGAACUGGGAUCAGUUAAAGUGCUUCCCUGAUGGAUAACUGUCCACUGUUCUUCUAAGAAGGGGGAUGCUGAACAUCUCUGAAUAUAAACAUGGAAACCUUCCAUAACAUCUGCUGCUAAUUUCUGCCAGCUGAAAAGUGAUAAUGAUGAUGAAUACUUUUGUUGAUGAUGUGGAUACAUUGGUCUAACUAAAUUAACUUGCAGACUCAGGGCAUAUAAUUGAAAACACAUGAUUUGUGGUAUCACCUGGUUGGCUUUAUGGGUAGUUACAUAUUUAAUUGUUCCAAUACGUUUAACUUUAAAAAGCUAAAAGGGUAAAAUAAACCAGAAUAUUGGUAUAAUGUCAGGCUGAAUAUAGCUUGCUUAUUUGAUCAUCAUCAAAUAUUUUUGAAGGCAAAAAUUGACUGAAAAUUGUAUACUUAAGAUACUAACUUGCAAUUAUUGAUGAAGGGUGGUGAUAAUUAAGGUUUUCAGCUAGCCUGAAACUUCUUACUGUUAGCCUAAUCAAGUUUUGUUUUAUAGUGGAC